GAUGAACGCUGGCGGCGUGCCUAAUACAUGCAAGUCGAGCGAACGGACGAGAAGCUUGCUUCUCAGAUGUUAGCGGGGGACGUGUGAGUAACACGUGGAUAACCUGCCUAUAUGCCUGGGAUAACUUCGGGACACCGGGACUAAUACCGUAUAAUAUUUUGAACUUCAUUGUUCAAUAGUGAAAGACGGUCUUGCGCACUCUUAUAGAUGCAUCGGCGCUGCUUUAUCUAGUUGGUAGUGUAAAGGCUUACCAAGGCAACGAUCCAUGGCCGACCUGAGAGGGUGAUGGGCCACCCUGGAACUGAGACCCGGUCCAGACUCCUACGGGGGGCAGCAGUAGGGAAUCUUCCGCAAUGGGGGAAAGCCUGACGGAGCAACGCCGGGUGAGUGAUGAAGGUCUUCGGAUCGUAAAACUCUGCGAUUAGGGAGGAACAGAUGUGGAAGUAACUGUGCACAUCUUGACGGUACCUAAUCAGAAAGCGACGGCUAACUACGUG
rnacentral:rRNA from 1 species